UCUAGUAAUCACCACACCCAUUGGAAAUCAUCAUUCAAAGCAAACUUAUCAACAUACACCGGCCCUCCAAACUUCAAUUCCCUUCUUCCUCAAACACUAACUCAAUUGAAUACUUGGGAAUAACUUAUAGGCUGCUGUAUAAGGUGAAAGACAAGUUAUAUGCUCUUAUCAAUGUUAAAAGAGCUAUUGAUGAAGGAUAGCUAUAAGGAUUUUUUUUACUCACUCAACUAUCUUCUAGGUGAGGAAAUUAGAAAUAAUAUUGAUUAAUGGAAGAAGAUAGAUGUAGAGAGAGUUACCAUGAAGGAGUAUGGCUGAAAAUAAGGAUCAAAACCUCAAAAAUUGGAGAGGGCAGUAGCUGUCCCUUUUUGUCCUCCUUCAAUCAAGUGGCUGUUGGUUGAGAGAAAUGGUGAUUAGGCUUUCUCAAUGAAGGGAUUACUAUUUAGGAAGAUAAGAAUAAGUAGUGAAGACUUGAUUUAGUCAAAGAAAUGAGUUGAUUUCAGGAUUGUCUCCAUUUAUGCUCUGUUCUAGCUCUAGGAAGAGCAAUUGUUUUAACGCAUGAUGACAUCUCAAAGGUCUUUAGCCGGCUUUGCCUUUAUGGCUGAUAUCCAAGGCAUGUUGUCGUAUUGAGCUCUGCUUCAUCACCCUCUGUGAGCUGCUUACUUAGCCUGCAAUUCGUUUUCUGGGUUGUAUGGCCUGCUACUCAGGAGCUUCCUUGUCUCGAUCUGCUGUUUUGUAGGGAAUAUGACUGAAUUAUGGCUCUCCUAGGACUCCUUUAGGCCUCGGUGCCAUUUCUUGUCCUUUGGGAUUGAAGAGCUCUGCCCUUAGACUCUUUUUGGUUUACAUUUCCUCCUUUGCGGUGUUGCAAUAAGAAAAUCCGGGUAUGCACUAUUUCUUUUGGGUUGCCCAAAUAAAAAAAGGCUCUUUUGUAUUUAGACCUGAGUUUUUAUUAAUUUUUUAUUUUUAUAUUAUAGAUCAAACUACUUUUAAUUUAAGAUUCUAACCUUUUUAUAUCAAUGUAAUCUAUUUGUUGAAUAUAUAUAUAUAAAGAGGGAAAGAAAGAAAGAGUAAAGUUAUUUUUUUU